GUUUGGGGCUAUUAUGAAUGAUGCUGAUAUGAAUAUUUGCAUACAUGACUUUGUGUGGAAAUAUGUUUACAUUUCUCUUAGGUAUAUUCCUAGGAACAGAAUUCUGGGUUAUAUGCUACCAUUCUGAACACCCGCUAUGUUCCAGUGCCGUGCUCAGCAUUUAUGGAUAUUCUUUCGUGUAAUGAGCAUCUCAUCAUUUUCCAAGAUUCUCGAGUUGUGUUUCACAGAGACUAGGAUUGAUCUUUCUUCUGGAAUGACAGGAUACUACACUGAGACCUGGGAGAAGCCUGUGUUCCCUCUCACCAGCCAUCCACAAACAUGCGAUGCUUUGUCUGUUUUCCUGUAUCACCACUCUGAUGGCCUCUUCGUUUUGAAAGAUGAUGUCUACACAAUUCCUGACACUCCUGGUUGGACCACAUUCCCACAGCUACUGCCUUCCAGACCCUGCCUCCUGCCCGUCUGGCCUAGCAGCACAACACAGCCCAGCCCAGUCCUGUGCUGGCUUUGCACAGGACUUCUGUGCCUCUGCUCAGGAAAUUGGAAGCAUCUCCAGCUCAACCUUCCAUAGGAAAACACCAAAGCCAUAGCACCUGGCUCAGCCCAGUGACUUCUAAGCAGUCCUCUCUCUAGUGCUCGCCUCUCCAUCAGCUCUGCCUCUCUGCCCCAGCAGUUCACACUAAGCCUUUUUCAACAAGACCAGACCAUGGAGGAGUGGCAAAGAACCCAGAGCCGUGGCUUUAGAUGGAAAUUUCUAGAAUGGAGUGUUAUAUAAAUUUUUUCCUACACACUGACUGGCUUGAAGAUAAUUACUUUAGAAACAUUGGUCCUUUAAAUAUUCCUCUGCAUGUCUGAUGUUGCCGUUUCCCUGAGAAGCCCAUUUGUGUAUAAGCCUGAGCGAAUUUACUCUGUAAGUGAGUUAUACUAGAUUGUCCGAGAACACAGUGAAGUCUAUUGUCUAACUCCACAUGAAGCCCCUUAAAAGAUUUGUGUUCAUCUUAGGGCAUAUCAAGUAGUGAGUGUUCUCAUAAGAGAGUGUCCUGUUUUCUCGUGGUGAGGUAACAAAACAGAUGGCUCUGGCUUGCCGUUCUCUCACCUAAACUGUCAGUGAGCCAGCCAUCUUGUCUCAUUUCCACAAACAAACAUCCCAGUCCUUGCAAAAUGUGGAAGAACAGAGGAUCUUCAUUCAGCAAUGGCUUUAGCUGUGAAAAGAUGAAAGCAUUUAGCCAUCUCUCAAAUAAGAGUUACCCAGGAGGUGCUGUAUUUUCAUAUAGGCAAAUCUAAGUGAUUUAGGUUUCAAAUAACCCUGUCAUGAAAAAGGGAAUGCAGUCUAUUUGAAUAUCUUGAAAUAAAAUUUUCAAGUAUAGUUUUGUGUGGACAAGAAUUGGGUGAAUGGAAGAGUAUGGAGUCAUAAGCAUCCGACUUCUGUUUUAACCAGGACCUUCAAUGAAGUGGAAUUUCCCUCUUUUUUUUUCGGAGAGGGGGUGAUGCUUUAAGAACUUGUAUCAAGGAUCUUAAAACAAUUUCCAGGAUGUUUCUUGGGAUUGAGCUGCCUUCUAGAUAUCUAAUUCUGUAGAAAUAGAACUGAUGGUCAAAAAGAUAACCCUAAGUAACCAGAAAAUCCCCAAUUAUCAAAAGAAAGAAUCAACUGUGGUCAUUCUACUACUGUACUGAAUAAGAUACGAAAGAGGAGUAAUGCAUUUAUAAACACUUUUUCAGUGAAAUUUUUCAAAAAUUUUGGUUAUUGUUUAAUUAAUUACACAAUUCAGUUGAUUUGGGUCAUGAACUUUCUGGGUAAUUGAGACUUUAUAAGGAUUGGUCUAUAAAGUUGUGUGUAGACAUGCCCUCUUUAAGAAUUCCUAGAAAUGUUUAUUUGACAUUAAAGUCC
rnacentral:lncRNA from 1 species